rnacentral:piRNA from 1 species
UAUUAAAUUAUUGCUAGAAGCAAUGGUGU